GAUGAACGCUAGCGGCAGGCUUAAUACAUGCAAGUCGAGGGCAGCACGGGUAGCAAUACCUGGUGGCGACCGGCAAACGGGUGCGGAACACGUACGCAACCUUCCCAUAACUGGGUGAAUAGCCCUCCGAAAGGAGGAUUAAUACACCGUAACUUAACGAAGUGGCAUCACUUUGUUAAUAUAGGCUUCGGCCGGUUUUGGAUGGGCGUGCGCCUGAUUAGGUAGUUGGCGGGGUAACGCCCACCAAGCCUGCGAUCAGUAACUGGUGUGAGAGCACGACCAGUCACACGGGCACUGAGACACGGGCCCGACUCCUACGGGAGGCAGCAGUAAGGAAUAUUGGUCAAUGGACGAAAG
rnacentral:rRNA from 1 species